rnacentral:rRNA from 1 species
AGCGAACGCUGGCGGCAGGCCUAACACAUGCAAGUCGAACGGAUCCUUCGGGAUUAGUGGCGGACGGGUGAGGAACACGUGGGAACGUGCCUUUUGGUUCGGAACAACUCAGGGAAACUUGAGCUAAUACCGGAUAAGCCCUUCGGGGGAAAGAUUUAUCGCCAUUAGAGCGGCCCGCGUCUGAUUAGCUAGUUGGUGAGGUAAAGGCUCACCAAGGCUACGAUCAGUAGCUGGUCUGAGAGGAUGAUCAGCCACACUGGGACUGAGACACGGCCCAGACUCCUACGGGAGGCAGCAGUGGGGAAUCUUGCGCAAUGGGCGAAAGCCUGACGCAGCCAUGCCGCGUGAAUGAUGAAGGUCUUAGGAUUGUAAAAUUCUUUCACCGGGGACGAUAAUGACGGUACCCGGAGAAGAAGCCCCGGCUAACUUCGUGCCAGCAGCCGCGGUAAUACGAAGGGGGCAAGCGUUGUCCGGAAUCAUUGGGCGUAAAGAGCGCGUAGGCGGCCCGGUAAGUCCGCUGUGAAAGUCAAAGGCUCAACCUUUGAAUGUCAGCGGAUACUGCCGGGCUAGAGUCCGGAAGAGGCGAGUGGAACUCCUGGUGUAGCGGUGGAAUGCGCAGAUAUCAGGAAGAACACCAACGGCGAAAGCAGCUCGCUGGGACGGAACUGACGCUGAGGCGCGAAAGCGUGGGGAGCGAACAGGAUUAGAUACCCUGGUAGUCCACGCCGUAAACGAUGGGCACUAGUGUGGGAGGUGUCGACUCCUCCCGUGCCGGCGCUAACGCAUUAAAUGCCCCGCCUGGGGAGUACGGCCGCAAGGCUAAA